AUACGGAGGAUCCAAGCGUUAUCCGGAUUUAUUGGGUUUAAAGGGUGCGUAGGCGGUUUUAUAAGUCAGCGGUGAAAUUUUCCGGCUCAACCGGGAUACUGCCGUUGAUACUGUAAGGCUAGGAUAUGGUUGCUGUGGGUGGAAUGUGUGGUGUAGCGGUGAAAUGCUUAGAGAUCACACAGAAUAUCGAUUGCGCAGGCAGCUUACUAAACCACUACUGACGCUCAUGCACGAAGGCGUGGGGAUC
rnacentral:rRNA from 1 species